GACGAACGCUGGCGGCGUGCUUAACACAUGCAAGUCGAACGGAAAGGCCCUGCUUUUGUGGGGUGCUCGAGUGGCGAACGGGUGAGUAACACGUGAGUAACCUGCCCUUGACUUUGGGAUAACUUCAGGAAACUGGGGCUAAUACCGGAUAGGAGCUCCUGCUGCAUGGUGGGGGUUGGAAAGUUUCGGCGGUUGGGGAUGGACUCGCGGCUUAUCAGCUUGUUGGUGGGGUAGUGGCUUACCAAGGCUUUGACGGGUAGCCGGCCUGAGAGGGUGACCGGCCAAAUUGGGACUGAGAUACGGCACAGACUCCUACGGGAGGGAGCAGUGGGGAAUAUUGUACAAGGGGCGGAAGCCUGAUGCAGCAACGCCGCGUGGGGGAUGACGGCCUUGGGGUUGUAAACCGAUUUCGCCUGAGACGAAGCGUGAGUGACGGUAAUGGGUAAAGAAGCACCGGCUAACUACGUG
rnacentral:rRNA from 1 species